UCCAGCCCUUAUCGAAGCAGAUUCGGCAUACUCUCCCAGCUGAGUCGGUCAACAAAGGAGCCAAAAUAAUCUAUUUUACAGACGGCCGCUGUUCAGAUCUCUUGUAGCUUACCAGCAACAAUUUGGGAAAGAACAUCA